rnacentral:ncRNA from 2 species
GGGUUCGAGGAGCGCUGCACCCCGCUGACAUCCGUCGGUGGGGGAGGCUCGAACACCGGACUUAAAUAACAACGGCGCUCGACUGCA